CGGUUUGGUGUCGUAGCAGAG
rnacentral:piRNA from 1 species